rnacentral:rRNA from 1 species
GUGGCGGGUGCUUACACAUGCAAGUCGACGAUGAUCUCCAGCUUGCUGGGGGGAUUAGUGGCGAACGGGUGAGUAACACGUGAGUAACCUGCCCUUGACUCUGGGAUAAGCCUGGGAAACUGGGUCUAAUACUGGAUAUGACUGACUAUCGCAUGGUGGUUGGUGGAAAGCUUUUGUGGUUUUGGAUGGACUCGCGGCCUAUCAGCUUGUUGGUGGGGUAAUGGCCUACCAAGGCGACGACGGGUAGCCGGCCUGAGAGGGUGGACGGCCACACUGGGACUGAGACACGGCCCAGACUCCUACGGGAGGCAGCAGUGGGGAAUAUUGCACAAUGGGCGCAAGCCUGAUGCAGCGACGCCGCGUGAGGGAUGAAGGCCUUCGGGUUGUAAACCUCUUUCAGUAGGGAAGAAGCGAAAGUGACGGUACCUGCAGAAGAAGCGCCGGCUAACUACGUGCCAGCAGCCGCGGUAAUACGUAGGGCGCAAGCGUUAUCCGGAAUUAUUGGGCGUAAAGAGCUCGUAGGCGGUUUGUCGCGUCUGCCGUGAAAGUCCGGGGCUUAACUCCGGAUCUGCGGUGGGUACGGGCAGACUUGAGUGAUGUAGGGGAGACUGGAAUUCCUGGUGUAGCGGUGAAAUGCGCAGAUAUCAGGAGGAACACCGAUGGCGAAGGCAGGUCUCUGGGCAUUAACUGACGCUGAGGAGCGAAAGCAUGGGGAGCGAACAGGAUUAGAUACCCUGGUAGUCCAUGCCGUAAACGUUGGGCACUAGGUGUGGGGGACAUUCCACGUUUUCCGCGCCGUA